CAGACAUGCUCCGUGCGUUCAGCCGAAAGGUGUACUCGUACGGUUGCAGGCUAGAGUCUGCUCUUGGGGUCGGAUAAGGGUCUUGGGAAUGUGGUACCUCCGGGUGUGUUAUAGCCCCUUGCUGUAUACACUGGUUGGGAUUGAGGUUUCAGUGCACGCUUCGGUUGUGCUUUGAUGCUGGCGUAAUGGCUUUAAGCGACCCGUCUUGAAACACGGACCAAGGAGUCUAACAUGUAUGCGAGUGUU
rnacentral:rRNA from 1 species